rnacentral:lncRNA from 1 species
GUGUAUAAUAAUAAAGAUAGUAAAUAACUGAUCAGUGGACAACAUAGGACAAGCUAUAUAUGUUCUCCAAGACAGAAAAGAGAUCAAUGCUGGUCAUUCUGGGACAGAACAGCACCCUGGCUGAGCACUGACUACUGGGCCUAGCAGGUGAAGAGAGGCUGUGUAAUAUGUAUGCAUGAGAGUGAGGGUGAGGAGAGGAGUCUGUUUCUGACAGUGGCUUGUUUUAAGGAGAAGACAUCAUCUUCAAAGUCAUGAUAAAUCGAGGCAUGGAAAAUAUAGAAGGAAAGCUGAAAGAUGAAACAAUUGAGAACAGUGAACAGAGAGAUGAAGCCUCCUCACCCUGAAACUGCUUAUCUUUGCCCAGAAGUGACUUCUAACUUCCUUAGACAGGUCUGGGGUAUGACCUGGCUGUCAAUAUUCUCCAGCGACCUUCCCAGGCAAAAAGCCAGGAAGACCUACAUAAUUUUCACCAUUGCUUCAACUGAAAGACUUCCCCAGUAUCAGGAACAGGACUACUAUUCAACCUAUAGCAGUGAGUAUACCAAGCACAUAAAUAUUGUUCCUGAAAUAUCUCUCACUAAAGAAACUAGGACUUCUGGAGAAAAGGAUGAUUCCAAGUUUGAGAUGGGAAAUAUGCAAGAUGAAUCUGGAACAUCUUUUCAUAGCAUGAAACAAAGAAUCUAAGAACAACUGGUUGGACAUCACUGGGUGACAAAACG